rnacentral:sRNA from 1 species
CUACUCUGUCCAGGUGCUGCAACGCCCCUGCCUUUCUCUUCACCACCCAGAAGAACACUCCCCUGGGGACAAAGCUCAAGUAUGAGGUGGACACCAGUGGCAUCUACCACAUCAACCAGGAGAUCUUCCGCAUGUUUCCCAAGGACAUGCCCUACUACCGGUCUCAGUUUAAGAAGUGUGCUGUAGUGGGCAACGGAGGCAUCUUGAAGAACAGCCGCUGUGGGAGGGAGAUCAACAGCGCCGACUUCGUCUUCCGGUAAAAGAAACCCUGGCACUGCCCUUGCCACUACCCCAUGGCCCUCUCCUCCAUAUUCUUCCCCCGGUUCCCUAAUGCUACCCUUUAAGCAAGUAAUCCCCACUUCCCACCCCUGCAGACCCUCAGGUCUGGGAUAUCCCUUCUUCUCUCCAGCCCCAUCCCUUUGGGGUAGUCGUUGAACUCCUAGGUCCUCAGUUUCCACAUCUGCACAAUGGGAGAUGUGUUAAGAGCAAAGGGCAUCACAGAUUUGAAGGCACUGAGGACUUAGGAGCUUGCAGCUGUGUCGGGAGGUCCUCUGGGCACCG